GCCUUAGUGGCACAAACGGUUAAGUGCUCAGCUGUUAACUGAAAGACUGGUGGUUUGAAUCCACCCAGAGGUA
rnacentral:tRNA from 1 species